GAUGAACGCUGGCGGCGUGCCUAAUACAUGCAAGUCGAGCGAAUGGAUUAAGAGCUUGCUCUUAUGAAGUUAGCGGCGGACGGGUGAGUAACACGUGGGUAACCUGCCCAUAAGACUGGGAUAACUCCGGGAAACCGGGGCUAAUACCGGAUAACAUUUUGAACCGCAUGGUUCGAAAUUGAAAGGCGGCUUCGGCUGUCACUUAUGGAUGGACCCGCGUCGCAUUAGCUAGUUGGUGAGGUAACGGCUCACCAAGGCAACGAUGCGUAGCCGAGCUGAGAGGGUGAUCGGCAAGACUGGGACUGAGACACGACCCAGACUCCUACGGGAGGCAGCAGUAGGGAAUCUUCCGCAAUGGACGAAAGUCUGACGGAGCAGCGCCGCGUGAGUGAUGAAGGCUUUCGGGUCGUAAAACGCUGUUGUUAGGGAAGAACAAGUGCUAGUUGAAUAAGCUGACACCUUGACGGUACCUAACCAGAAAGCCACGGCUAACUACGUGCCAGCCGCCGCAGUAA
rnacentral:rRNA from 1 species